UCGAUGUAUUGGGUGUUGAAUCACUGCUGCAUUAUAAAUGAUCCUGCUUUUUUUCUUUAACUUCCAAGGGUAAGCUUACUUUGGACUCAGGAACUGCUUGUUGCUUUAACGUGUCAGUUUGUGCUUUUAAAGUAGCACUGUAUUUGAGAGUCUGAGAAAUAAGAAAACUGAUAUGACAAUGACUGUUAAGCUGUGAAAAGCUGUCAUCAGCUCUACUCAAUGGAGGGCUUUAUUUUAAAAAUGAAAGAGCUAUAUUAAAAACGCCCACCAAGUAAAAUGAACUGUAAGAUUGUAGAUGAUAGGAAAAUGCUCAAGGUAUAUAUGUGGUGCCUGUGAGUAAUAACUCUGAGAGUUUACAAUGGGUUCCACAAAAAUUGUAGUUUAGCAACAGUUUUCUUCUUUUGCAAUGUCAUCCUGAGAAAAUAAAAAAGCCAUACUGGUGGAGACUGGAGUUUCUUCCUGACUUCUGGCUGUAGGCUAUCACAAAUGAAUAAAGUUUGUUUUGAAGAUAUCCCUGGACUAGUUUCAGAGUACUGAUAUCCCUUAUAAAUAGGAUAAAAUACUGAAAUUUCUUCAUGGUCCUAAGAAAGUUUGUGAAAGAUUUAUGGGUGUUUGUAAUAGGUAUAUGUAGUUCCCAUCUAUGUCAUGUAUUUGCAUGCUUUUUGAUCUUAUUCCCACUAAUGAUGCACAUUAAGGAUUCGUGCUUAGUGUCAUUCAUCAAUGAACAGGAUGCAAGGACUGUAGGCACAAGUCUAUAGUUGUGAGCAAAACUGCAGGCAGUGUCCUCAUUUGGGGAGCACUUAUUAAACAAGUGUUCUAGAGAACAUUUCAGUAGGUAUUUAUUGAGACAGCUGGUGUGGCUUCACCAAGGGCAAGUCCUGCCUGACCAACCUAGUAGCCUUCUGUGAUGGAGUGACUCCACUGGUUGACAAGGAAAGGGCUACAGGUGUAAUUAACCUGGCCUUGUGUAAAGCUUUUGACAUGGUCCCCCUCAACAUCCUUCUCUCUAAAUUGGAGAGAAAUGGAUGUGGUGGUAGGUAGAUAAGAAAGCGGUUGAACUGUCUCAUUCAAAGGGUGGUGGCCAUUGUCGCUGACUCCCAGUGGACGGGAGGUGUCUCUCAGGAAUCUGUACUGACAUCACUGUUAUUUAAUAUCUCAAUUAAUAUCUUAAUUUAAUAUCUUAAUUAAUGGCUUAGAUGAUGGGAUCAAGUGCACCCUCAGCAAAUUUGCAUAUGACACCAAGCUGAGUGCUGUGGCUGACACACUUGAGGGAACAAGGCAAAAAAGUGAGUCCGUGGGAGUCUCAUGAGGUUUAAUAAGGCAAAGUGCAAGGUGCUGCACCUGGGUCAGAGCAGCCUCUGGUAUCAGCACAGCUGGGGGAUGAACAGAUGGAGAGUAGGGGAGAAGGACUCAGGAGUGCUGGUGGGUGAGAGGCUGGACAUGACCCAGCCAUGGGCACUCCCAGCCCAGAAAGCCAAACGUGUCCUGGCUGCAUCCAGAGCAGCGUGGGCAGCAGGGCCAGGGAGGGGAUUCUGCCCCUCUGCUCUGGUCAGAGCCCACCUGGAACCCUGCAUCCAGCUCUGCGGUUCCAGCACAGGGAGGACAUGGAACUGCUGGAGGUGGUCCAGAGGAGGCCACCAAGAUGAUAAGAGGGAUGAAGCACAUCUAUUAUGAGAAAAUGCUGAGAGAAUUAUUUGGGAUUGAUUAGCCUGCAAAAGAGAAGGCUUAGGGGUGACCUAAGUGCAGCCUUCCAGCACCUGAAGGGAACCUGCAAGAAAGUUGGAGGGACACUAUUUAGAAGAUUGUGUAGUGACAGUACAAGGGGGAAUGACUUCAAAAGUGGCAGGUUUAGGUUAGAUACUAGGAAGGAAUUCUUUACUGUGGGCAUGGUGAGGCACUGGUACAGAUUGCCCAAAGAAGUGUUGGAUGCCCUAUCUUUGGAAGGUGUUUAAAGCUGAAUUGCUUGGGGCUCUGAGCAACCUGGUCUAGUGGAAAUUGUCCCUGCCAAUGGCAAGGAUAUUGGAAUUAUAUGUCCUUUCCAACCCAAAUGCUUCUACAACUGGAGGCAGGAAGUGAACUAAGCAGGAAUCAAGAAUGGCUGGGUUCAGUUUUCUGCAUGGAAGAGUUUGUAUUGAUUGUGGGAUACUCAAAGUUUGCCACCUUUGAUAAGAAUACAGAGGAGGAAUGAAUGGAAAGGGAGCUCCAGUGUAGUGCAACACUGAAUGCUUAUAUCAUCUAGGAAGACAUGCUCUGCCUCAAAGUAGGCCCAGAUUGUCCAUCCAGAAACUAGUACAGCUCAUCUACUGCAUCAGGUAGUUUUCAUUUCUAGAAUUUUGGAGGAUAUGGGUGGUUUUUUUGGUUUUAAGGGUCAUUCUCUCUGCAGUAGAAGGCGAGAAAAGGCUCUUUGCAGCUCUCGGAUAAUUGGUGAGCCAAAAAAAAUGAAACCUGUCUUUUCCUUGCAAAGUAAGAAAUUGGCUCAUAUAUCUCUAUGUGCAUCUUGGCUUUUAUCAUGCAGUUGCAGGUCAUCAUCUUAAUUUGUGACUGACCAUUUUGCUGAAGCUGAGGAAAGUACGCAGACAAAUCUCUAAUAAUGCUGUGUGGGGAAGAAAAUUGUUCUGUGUCUGUUUAGCUGAGGGCAGUAAACAACUGGAAGAUUGCACAUGUAGCUAGUCUGCUAGAGUGGAAGAAAGGGUUUAGAAGGGUGUCAGGAAGAAAAAUGUGGAAAUGGCUGAGGCUUAAAUAACCUUAGUUUUGCAGGAUGACAUUUAUCCAUAGUAUUAGUAUAAAAAUUCUCUGUCAGGACUGCUGUUAAAAGGCUUUUUGAAAAAUAGAAGCAUGCAAAUAUGUUAUUGUUGUGAUACUUUUGUUGAGAUUUAUAAAAACUUUUCUGAGGUUAAAGGGUGAAAAGGAAUGUGAAUACUAGCAAAAAUGCAACUCGGGCAUCAAGAACUACCUUGUAUUUAGACUAGAUACAUUGAUUCACACUGCAGAUCACAGACACAAAAAGUUACAGAGUGCUGUGAGCCUUAUUGCAGCAAACGAUUUGGCUGUUAAAGACUCCACUGGCUUGUUACCUUUAUGUUGAUGGCAAAAAAAAUAUAAAUAGCAUGGGUGAAAUGCUUUUUGUUCUGAUCCUGUGUUCAAAUUGGCUAGCCUUGAAGAUGAUGCAAGUUAGAGUAGCUGAGUAUCGUUGAGUUAGAGUAGCUGACUGUAUCAUUGACCUUUGAAGACGGGAGUAGAGGUUGCUUUAGGAAGAACUGUAUUUGGAAGGGAAAGUCUUGUCUACAGGUAGUUCACUGAAAGUAAACAUAAAUGCAGCAGUGUGAAUAGUGUGAAUACAUCUUCUACAGUUGGAGGAGUUAAGCAAACUGAUAUAUCAGAGUCACAGUAUGAUUCCACUUCUCUUUCUACAGUGUAGAUAAUUCUUGUGAAGAGAGCUCAUGUAUUUUGUGUAGGGGAAUAGCUGUGAACACAGAGAGACAUGCCUUCUUCUUAAAUGUCAUGAAAAAUCUGCACCUAAUUGGCACUAAAUUUGCACUCGUCUGUCUUGUGGAUUAACCCCAGUGGGCUUGAACGCUGCUCAGCUGCUCGCAAAGCAGAGGAAGAAUAAAAGCAAGAAAACUUGUGAGUGAAUGUAGAAUUAUUUAAUAAGCAAAGUGUAAGAAGACAGAAAACAAGACAAGUAAUAUUGCACUCAUCACCUCCAGUGGAUGGACCAAUAUCAGAUAGUUCCCAUACAAAAGGUGACUGAAUUCCUUAAAGCCCUUCUUCUCCUUUUUAUUGCUGUGUGACAUCAUACAGUAUGAAGUCUAUUUUUCAUUAGUACAAGCCUGAUUUUUGUCCAUUCUCAAUCUCUUGGUCAUGCACCAUUCUGUUCAAUGUGGGAACAGAGUGUGAACUGUGCAAAGGCUGUUCAGUAAGAGAUACAACUUUAGUGUUUUACCAGCAUUGUUUUGGCCACAGCACUGUGUGAGCUGCUAUGAAGGAAAUUCCCACCAUCACAGCCAGACCCAGUACAGUCUGGUUCAUCCAGUACAGGAUCUCAUACAGCCAGACUUCUGUGUGUGUGUGUCUACAUGUAGAAACAUGCCAGCUGUUCAGCAAGGAGAGUGCUGCUGGUUUGCUUUCUGUAUUGUUCUAGUUUGAGUCAUGCUGUGGUGUCCAGUCUUUACCACACCAGAAAGAAAUACUACCUUACUCAGGUACAGCCACUGGAGACAGCCCUGCUCAGGUGGUAGAGCACACACUACCUUUGUGCCAGCCAGUCAUGUAAUGGUACUGGGAGUUUUUUUGUGAGUUAUUGUUGGGAAUGCUGCCACAGCAGAGCUGGCUCCAUGUAAUAAAUAUUAAUGAAGAAUACAAUUAUUGCACAGCCAUCUUAGUGAUCUGUUAGAACAAGUCAGUCCUGGGGAACAAGAAGGAAAUUAUAUAUUGUGCAAUGUAGUGCACUUAGAAGUCAUGCUUCUAAAAGCAUGAAGAAAUCCACCCUGAAGGGGGAUUCUAGGUUCAGUUAAAUGUGUAGCAAGAGUACUGUGAAAUCCAGUGCAGAAAUCACCUUUCAACUGGCUAACUCUUAUGCUUUGGCAAUGGUGUUUGUAAGUAAUACUACUGCUUCUUUUAGAAAAUAGUAUCUCCCAAAUCUUUAACUAAAAAGGUGGAGUGCUUCUUUGAUACUGUAAGUUCCUGAUAGUUCAGUGUUUUAGGAAACAUAAAUAAGUGUGUGGCCAUACAGGGUGCUAGACAUAGAUUCUUAUGGGCUUUCACGCAAAGUAAAAUGCGUGGAAAGUGACAAUGAGGACUGGAGUGGGCUGUAGAAGUUUGCAUGGCAGCAUUGAAAGGAAGGUACCCUACAGGUCUGUUUGUCUUUUACUCUGCAGUAAAUGGUAAUGAUACUGAGCUUUUCUCUCAAAAUCUGUGAUGUACUAAGAGUCACGUCUUCCCAUUUGCAAAUGGGAAGAAUAGUAUUUUUUCUUUGGUUUUAGAAUUUCCACUAAAUUGCAGUAGUAGUAUGGGAUGCAUUUUAUUUGAGUGAUACUAGUCAGGAGGCUGGAAAAUUCCUAUUGGAGACAAAUGUUUAAUGUGUGGCUGGGAAAUACAUUGACCUUGAGAGCUGUUUUGCAGGAACAGCAUAGACUAAUCAGAUGUUGUUCUAUAGGGAAUAGCAGAGGUAGUCUGCUCUUGUUAAGAUUUUCAGUAAUUCUGAGCCGAGACUCCCUAGGUAGGUACAAUUUCUCUUAUGUGUGGCAUACAUACCUACUUUGAAAGAAAGAAAUUUCUAACUGGCAUGCCCAUUAUUUGCGCCAAUUACACGAGUCUAGAAAUACUGUGAAAUUAAAUACUUAUUUGAGAACCAGAAAAUAAAAAGCUUUAUUAAUAUUUUGAUAUUAAUGUAGAAUAUGUAUGCAUGUCAUUGUUUCAGAAAACUAGUGCUAGCUAAGAACUGUUUUCAUGAACAGAAUUGUUACCUUUUCUUAAGAACCUGGGUAAACAAAGCAACUUUUUAAAUUAUUUGGGUUGAAUGUGUUUACACCCAAAUAAUUUCCUUACCCAAGGUAUAUGGCAAUUAAAAAGUAAAAUCCACAUUAGAAUGCAACCACUCAAAACCAUUGUAUAUGUAUGUGUGGGUAUCUGUGUGUAUUUAGAUAAACAGAUUUUAGAUGUUUUUAUGUAUAAAUGUGCACAAAUGAAUUCAAGAUUCUACUACAUAUAGGGUUAGGCUUCAGAGAGCCAGAAAGUUCAGAGUCCAAGGGAUACUGGGGCUGGAAAAGUCAUGCCUAGGAGAUCACAGCAAGGUAACAACAUUGCUGCCUCCACAAUAUGGGACACCCAUGGAGGUGGGGACUUCAGCCUCUGCACCAAGCUUCCAUUACGUUUAGGGUUCAGAGAGCCAGAAAACAUAAAGCUAAAUGUAUAAAAAGGAGUUGAUGUUGGGUUACUGCAUGAAAGUCUGCUUCUGCCCUGUCUUUUUGUUGAGAGGAAGAUGGUCAUGUUUACCCUCAGAAGGGCGGACCAGUGUACUGAGGUAUUUGGUGAAUGGAGGGAGGUGUUGGAACCCAGGAAAUUCCUCUGACUGCCCUGGAGACUCAAGACCCUGACAGGGGGCUCAGAGACCUCAGCACAGAGCCCAAGACCCUUGUGCCUUUGAUUUUGACCCAUGGAGCAAAUGACCAUCUUUAUGUGAAGAAUUACAAGUCAAGAGAGUUUAAGUAGAAUAAUAGUUAGUUUAUCACAGGGUGAAAAAUAGACUUUUAGGGUUUUUUAUAAUGGGGGUUCAGGAGGCAAGAUGGAGGAAUCUGGGCAUGUUCCGUCUUUCUUCUUGUUCUUCUUGGCCUCCAUCUUCUGCUUUGAUGUUGGCACUUUUGGAUUGGUUUAGAGUAGAAACUUGCUGUCUAACAUAGGUGAUAUGUAUUGGAAAGUGACUGUAAAUAUUGUACACGUAGUUUUUAGUAUAAAAAAGAUAACACCGCCCCAGGGCGGCCAGUGUGCCUCAACCCAACCUGCCAAACAGACCUUGGCAGGUCAGAAAAAGAAAAAAGAAAAAAGAAAAAAGAAAAAAAAAGAAAAAAAAAUAGAUAAGAAAUAAUAAACAACCUUGAGACCGAGAACUGAAGAUCUCUGACUCCUUCUUCGACUGCGAGGCUUGGAAAAGAGACUUUCUAACAUAUCUUGGGAUCACUCUGACCAGCAGAAGUCCCAAGAAGGAGGAAAGGGUUUUCAGUGUCUAGUCUGCAGUGGUGGGUGGCUGGUUUGAUUGAGACUGGUGCUUGUUUUAAUCAUCAAUGUCUCCAGUCCCCUCCUCUGCUAAGAGCUGGUGGAAGCAGAUGAUGUAAGAUG